rnacentral:lncRNA from 1 species
ACCAUUCUUCCCUCUGAGCAUUAUUCAUCCGUCCAGUUCACACCCUUUUGAAAAAGCCAGCUGGAUGACAUUAAUCUCUCCUCAGACAAUUGACAAUUAUGUGUGAUUUCAUAACCUCAUGUGAAGUGCUAGGCUUCCGGCCUGGGCACCUCAGGGCAGGGUGCUCACCUUUUCCAGGAUUUAAGUCCACUGGGGACUUGCAAGGAAGAGACUGCAGCUUGGUGAGGUUGCUAGUCACAUACAGGUUGCAGAAGAAUCGAAACGGAGCAAUGGGCAUUCUGCACCCGCCGAGCUGCCGCGAUUCUAAUCUACACACCAGCAGAGUGUCAGCAGGGCCCCCUGAGAUCUAGGGCAGAUGAGAGAGGCCAGCCGGUAACACCAAGCCCGAUGACCCGAGUUUGACCCGAAGAACCCAUUUGGUGCAAGGAAAGAGUCAACUCCUCCAAGUUGAUCUCUGACCUCCACGUGGGUGAUGUGGUCCGGUCCCUGUGUAAAGCCACCCCCAACACUAAAGAAAUAUUUUUAAAAGUAUUAAUUUAGAAGAAACACAACCAAGUAUUCUCCCAGUUACAAAGUUACAUGAUUAUAAUUUUAAAAAGAAAACCCACAUGUCAGAAGUAAAUUUCUUUAACCUUGUGAGGACAAAAAGCACCCAGAAUUUUAAUACCUCAAGAAAGAUUCUGUUCCCUCUACCAUCAGUACAUAGAAUCGUUCAGUACAAAAUAAACAUUGACUUAUUGAUUGAAUAAA